CAUAGUUUUCACACAAAUGCAAAAGAAUCUGCCUCUUAUACUGGACAAGAAAACUGUUUUCAAAAGUUGCAGAAUCGUCUGAUUGGAUGGGGUUUUGAAGAUGCAGGACUGAAAGCUCUGAGAAUGGUGGACUCUGCAGAGAAGAGGAGUUUAAUUGUGUUUCUGGAACGGCUCAGCAUUCUAGAAGUUGAGGUCAGUGAAAGUCUUUGGUAUUGCCCCUGUUAGCUGGCCCUUCAGGGAAUUUCAAAAUCUAAGACCCGGCAUUUUUACAUGGCAGUGCUGUAAUAAUGAGGAAGUCAUAGAUUAAUUAGGGACAGGGUGUUUAGAGAUGGUUAGCUUAGGUAGAUCAUUUUGAAUAGUUAUUUUAAAAAGAUUUAAUACAGAGGUGAGAUCAGAAUAAAACGGACUUGUGAGCGGACUCUAAAAUCUAAACUCUGGGGAAAAAAAUGUAAUCUAGAGCAAAAUCAGAAAGCAAAAUAAUUGGAAUAGACAGUUGGACUAAAAGUGUGUAUGUGGAGUGUGUGUGUUACGAGGAAAAGGCUAAUGAUAGAAUUUAUGGGAUAAUCCAUUUAUUUGUAAAUUUUUAGUCUCCUGUAGCUUUUUUGGACUAAAAUCCCCGUUAAAAUAAAUAAGAAAGCAUGUUCUUU